rnacentral:tRNA from 1 species
GUCUCAGUAGCAUAGUGGUUAGUGCACACCCCCCGAUAGAUCAAGACUCGGGUUCGAAUCCCGCCUGAGAUG